rnacentral:rRNA from 1 species
CAGCCGCCGCGGUAAUACGUAGGGUGCAAGCGUUAAUCGGAAUUACUGGGCGUAAAGCGUGCGCAGGCGGUUAUAUAAGACAGAUGUGAAAUCCCCGGGCUCAACCUGGGAACUGCAUUUGUGACUGUAUAGCUAGAGUACGGCAGAGGGGGAUGGAAUUCCGCGUGUAGCAGUGAAAUGCGUAGAUAUGCGGAGGAACACCGAUGGCGAAGGCAAUCCCCUGGGCCUGUACUGACGCUCAUGCACGAAAGCGUGGGGAGCAAACAGGAUUAGAUACCCGAGUAGUCCCUGUCUCUUAUAU